GGAAAACUUGGGGGAGAAUGGGCAUCCCACCCCAGCACUUUCUAGGAAGAAGGGCAGCAUUUUGAAGGGCUGGAAGUAGAGGAAGGAGGUUGCGGGUAGAAGACUCCAUACUUUCUGUGACGCCUAUUCCUUAGCUUGUGAUGAAUGUUUUCUCAGUAUCCUAUGCUGAAAACAGGUAGAUACUAAUAUCGAUCUUCAAGGGAGGGCUGUUGAGUAUUGAAUAAGACAAAAACAUGGAAGCAAUCAGCACCAUGCUGGAGAGCCUUUAUAUAACCAAAGAUAUUUUUGGACCAUGAAUUCAGAAAUUCUCGGAGCCACCCAUCAGUGCCUGAGCUUCAGUGAGUCCAUAUCCCAUGUCACCCACGGCAAAGGAGACUCUAAGACUUCUGAAGAGUUUCUUGCUUCUUUCCUGUGGGGCAGUGACUCCACUUCCCAGCAGUAAUGGAAUAUCCUGAAUUAGCUACAUUAAUGUUAGAACCAUUUGGACCUCACCCAGGACUUCAACUACAUUAUGCUAAAGUUACAGAACCCAAAUUUGGCAACUGUCUGCAUCUGAACAACAGAAGUUUCAACAUUCUGCCAACAGAGUAACUCCUGGACGAUUGGCACAGAAGAAGGCACAAGGCAAAUACCCAUCUCUGUACACCCUGUGCUACUGUGUCAUGUGCUGCUCCAGGCAACUCCAAUGGAUUGGCCACCCUGGCCAAUGUGUUCUAGUAUGUUACGUUUAUGUUCCCCUGCUUUCUACAAUCCUGUUCAAAGAGUUGCUGACUUAACCACAGAGAGGAUUCCAGAACCUGAGACACAGAAUAAACUUGAGCAAUCAUAGUCCAUCCACUUCAUUGUCUCAUCAAAAACCAAAGGUCCAGUGAAGCUCUGGAACUCAACGCUGUAAAGGAGCGAAGGAGCUUCUAUACAGAGCCUGGAUGCCUGUCUCCUUAUCCUACUUCAGUGGACUUGACUGCAAUCCGG
rnacentral:lncRNA from 1 species